UAACUUCCUGUUAAUUGCUGAAUGGCACAUGGACGAGGCGCUUGCGCUUUAUCCGUGCGGAAUCGCUAUCAAGAGAUUUCGGAAGCACAAUUUUUGUUCCUUGGAGCUGCUGGUGAUUGUUUGUCUCGGCGCUUCA